UGUCUGAUCAGUAUGAAUUUGAUUAUAGC
rnacentral:piRNA from 1 species